rnacentral:miRNA from 1 species
UGUGUGUUCAUAUGUGUAUGCGCACAUGUAUGUCCAUGCACAUAUACACACAUACACACACACACACACACCCUGUA